ACACCCUCAAGCUCUGCUUGGUGUUGGGCGUCUGUCCCGCUUCGCGCGCGGACUCGCCCCAAAGGUAUUGGCAGCGGUCUUGCCAGCUUCUCGCGCAGCACAUUGCGCUUCUCGAGGCUUUUGGCGGAUCGGCGUCCAUCAAGCCCCCCACA
rnacentral:misc_RNA from 2 species